CGAGUGCAAACAAGCGGCAGCCGCGCCGCGGCCGCCGGGGGCAGGUGAGGGGGCGCGGCACGGCCCCCCCCAACAGCCUUCCUCCUUCCCCCCCGCGGGCGCUGGCACCGGCGGAACAAAAGGCACCUUUUUACCUUUAUCCCUUCCUCCAUGUUUUCUCUCCCUAAAUCUGGAGCUGGCUGCCUUCUCUUUCCCCCUUCCAGUUCCUCAGAGCUGGUCACUGCCCGGCUUUUAAUGAGGGCGCUCCGGGAAUCCCGUUUUUCGGGAGGCCGAGCAGCCUCUGUCCUCAGCUGAUCUCUACGCGGGUGAAGGGUACUGUCAUUGGUAAAGGCAGUUUUGGUGUCACUGACCUGUGUAUCACUUCACAGUGGAUUACAUUCUGCUGGCAACAGAAACAUAGCAUAGAUGAAAAGUCCUGCAUGGGGACCUCUCCUGGGCCAGGAAGGACCUGCACCAAAUGGGUCCAGCCCAACUGACACCAGUCCAGGGGUGACAGAAGACAGAAGGGUGCACAGGAAAAGGGGAAUAACUGACAGACCUGUUGCGGAACUAUUUUCCUGAGGCACAUAGGCUGAUGUGACUGUAUCUGUACCCCUCUCCCAUGUUGUUAAUCCAGACAAAGUCUAAAACAAAACCCUGAAUCUAUAUUCAACUUUUGCCCUAUCCUGCCAGGGAAACAAGGACCCUUUACCCUUAACAAACCUCAGCCAAGCCAAGUUAUUCCCCCUUGAAGUAGGCUGAAAUCCAUUUUGAUGCAUAUGGCUAAUGCCUAAGUAUUUUACUGUAACAGCAAAUAUUUUA